ACCCCGCAGCAGCACGGCCCAUGCAGCAAAGUGCAUUUGCACACACGUGGAGCCUGUAGGGAGGUGGGGCACAAACCCCACUUAUGGAUCCAUCUGUAAGACCCGCAGGUGCUGCCCCAUGGGGAGCCCCAAAGAUGCACCUUUGCAGCACAGAGGUUUGCACGGGGUGCUCCAUCUGUAUGCAAUGCCUGCUGCAGUGCAACCCCCAGAUUUGGUGCUGGGGAUGGAGCUGCAGUGCACCCCAAAGCUGCACUUUUGCAGCACAGAGGUUUGCAUGGUUUACUCCGUCUGUAUGCAACACCUGCUGCCAUGCAACCCCCCCAGAUUUGGUGCUGGGGAUGGAGCUGCAGUGCACCUCAAUGUCACACCUUUGCAGCACAGAGGUUUGCAUGGGGUGCUCCAUCUGUAUGCAAUGCCUGCUGCAAUGCAAACCCCCAGAUUUGGUGCUGGGGAUGGAGCUGCAGUGCACCUCAAUGUCACACCUUUGCAGCACAGAGGUUUGCAUGGGAAGCUCCAUCUGUAUGCAAUGCCUGCUGCAAUGCAAACCCCAGAUUUGG
rnacentral:lncRNA from 1 species